rnacentral:rRNA from 1 species
GUGCACGCUGGCGGUAGGCCUAACACAUGCAAGUCGAACGGCGGCACAGUAAGAGCUUGCUCUUACGGGUGGCGAGUGGCGGACGGGUGAGGAAUACAUCGGAAUCUACUUUUUCGUGGGGGAUAACGUAGGGAAACUUACGCUAAUACCGCAUACGACCUACGGGUGAAAGCAGGGGAUCUUCGGACCUUGCGCGAUUGAAUGAGCCGAUGUCGGAUUAGCUAGUUGGCGGGGUAAAGGCCCACCAAGGCGACGAUCCGUAGCUGGUCUGAGAGGAUGAUCAGCCACACUGGAACUGAGACACGGUCCAGACUCCUACGGGAGGCAGCAGUGGGGAAUAUUGGACAAUGGGCGCAAGCCUGAUCCAGCCAUACCGCGUGGGUGAAGAAGGCCUUCGGGUUGUAAAGCCCUUUUGUUGGGAAAGAAAAGCAGCAGGUUAAUACCCCGCUGUUCUGACGGUACCCAAAGAAUAAGCACCGGCUAACUUCGUG